GCUGACACAGCCCAGCCAAUCUCCAGCAGACCCUCCCUCCCAGACCCUCCCACCUCCUGGACAGCAUCCAUGUUGAAGGCAGCUUCAACAUGGAUGCUGUCCAGGAGGUGGGAGGGUCUGGGAGGGAGGGUCUGCUGGAGAUUGGCUGGGCUGUGUCAG